GACGAACGCUGGCGGCGUGCUUAACACAUGCAAGUCGAACGGAAAGGCCUGCUUUCCCUUGUGGAUUGCGGGUACUCGAGUGGCGAACGGGUGAGUAACACGUGAGUGAUCUGCCCCCAACUUGGGUAUAAGCCUGGGAAACUGGGUCUAAUUCCCGAUAGGACUGCAGGGUGGUGCCUGUGGUGGAAAACGAUUUUCUAGUGGUUGGGGAUGAGCUCGCGGCCUAUCAGCUUGUUGUUGGGGUAAUGGCCUACCAAGGCGGCGACGGGUAGCCGGCCUGAGAGGGUGGACGGCCACAUUGGGACUGAGAUACGGCCCAGACUCCUACGGGAGGCAGCAGUGGGGAAUAUUGCACAAUGGGCGGAAGCCUGAUGCAGCGACGCCGCGUGGGGGAUGACGGCCUUCGGGUUGUAAACUCCUUUCGACCGCGAGGAAGCCACCUGGUUGGAAGGGUGGUGACGGUAGUGGUAGAAGAAGCACCGGCUAACUACGUG
rnacentral:rRNA from 1 species